UCCAACGCGCUAAUCCAUUGCGCCACGGAGAUCACAUGCUGAUGCUAUGGAUAUGCAGAGUGUAAAUUUUAAGCAAAUAAACUUUCCACAUUUUUUGGCAGAUAUGGCAGCCAAGACAGAACAGACAAUGCUUUUAUAUCCAAUCCUUACUGACAAGCUAAUGAAUUUUACUUAUUACUCGUUUAAUUGUCAACGUUGUAACUGGUUUUAACAGAACUUCCAACUACAUGACUAUGGUGCUGUGAUGAUAAAUGUAGUUGCACGUAGCAGUUUGACGUGUGUUUAUAUUGUUCGAA